UGUAACAUCCGUGUCAAAAUACAUAUUUUUUUCAGGGCCAUGGGGGCGUCAUGUUAUGACCGUGUUGUGUAACGUGGGGUUUGUUAUGGUUGUUGCGUGGAAAUGAACUGCAAUGGCACCGACGUAAGAUGAAGCUGUGAUGUUUCAAAGAAGAGGACAAGCCUAAUUCAAUUGGAUGGAUGCAUCAGGGGAAUCUGAGAGAAAAGUGUUUGAUGGCUCAGCCAAAAAUACCAGCACUUCAUUCUUUGGACUGCCCCUUGCAGCAAUUUUCUGCAUUGCAAUCAUACUGUAUGGAUUGGCAGUGAUCAUAUGUAUGUUUAUGCGGCAAGUCAUCUUAAAUCGGCGACCAUUGGAUACCUUGGAAUCUCUUCACUGCUGUGAUUGCCUCAUGCUGUGGCCAAGACCAACAACAGUUCUUAAGUUUCCCUGCAGCCAAGCAUCAAAAACUGAUCACCUGGCUUGGAGAUUGCAUUUGGAGUCGCUGUGGGCGCGCCUGCCGUCGGUCGGCUGCCGGCGGCCGGACGCGGCACGGGCGCGCUGCUGCUGCCCCCUGCGGGCCGCCUGUCCC